AUCAAGAGAAACGAGAUUCAAGUCGUGAUCGAGGGAAAAAUAAAGUUUACGAGGAAUAGGCUCGAUUGUUAAAAAUUUUGUGCCGAGUUUUAACAAGCCGGCUUGAGAAUUGGGAUAGGUCGAAGACUCGUUCACACUAUCCGAAGGCCUAAAUUGGUAAAAUGGCUUGUGUGUUUUGAAUGUGGCAUGUAUGGCAAAAUACUCACUUUGUGUAAAUGAUCUUAUGAUAUGGCUAUGGUUUGGCAAGAAAAA